rnacentral:rRNA from 1 species
GCGGCCUAUCAGCUUGUUGGUGAGGUAAUGGCUCACCAAGGCUACGACGGGUAUCCGGCCUGAGAGGGCGACCGGACACACUGGGACUGAGACACGGCCCAGACUCCUACGGGAGGCAGCAGUGGGGAAUAUUGGGCAAUGGACGCAAGUCUGACCCAGCGACGCCGCGUGAGGGAUGAAGGCCUUCGGGUUGUAAACCUCUUUCAGUAGGGAAGAAGCGAAAGUGACGGUGCCUACAAAAGAAGCACCGGCUAACUAUGUGCCAGCAGCCGCGGUAAUACAUAGGGUGCAAGCGUUGUCCGGAUUUGUUGGGCGUAAAGAACUCGUAGGUGGUUUGUUACGUCGGAUGUGAAACUCUGGGGCUCAACCCCAGACCUGCAUCCGAUACGGGCAGACUAGAGUGUGGUAGGGGAGACUGGAAUUCCU